rnacentral:rRNA from 1 species
AUUGAACGCUGGCGGCAGGCCUAACACAUGCAAGUCGAGCGGAGCGGCGGACGGGUGAGUAAUGCCUAGGAAUCUGCACGGUAGUGGGGGAUAACGUCCGGAAACGGGCGCUAAUACCGCAUCCUCUCAGAUGUGCCUCGGUCGGAUUAGCUAGGUGGAGGGGUAAAGGCCUACCAAGGCGACGAUCCGUAACUGGGCUGAGAGGAUGAUCAGUCACACUGGGACUGAGACACGGUCCAGACUCCUACGGGAGGCAGCAGUGGGGAAUAUUGGACAAUGGGCGAAAGCCUGAUCCAGCCAUGCCUCGUGUGUGAAGAAGGUCUUCGGAUUGUAAAGCACUUUUGGUUGGGAAGCGUUACCAGCAGAAUAAGCACCGGCUAACUUCGUGCCAGCAGCCGCGGUAAUUC